UACGAAGGGGGCUAGCGUUGCUCGGAAUCACUGGGCGUAAAGGGUGCGUAGGCGGGUCUUUAAGUCAGGGGUGAAAUCCUGGAGCUCAACUCCAGAACUGCCUUUGAUACUGAGGAUCUUGAGUUCGGGAGAGGUGAGUGGAACUGCGAGUGUAGAGGUGAAAUUCGUAGAUAUUCGCAAGAACACCAGUGGCGAAGGCGGCAUCCUGGACCAUUACUGACGCUGAGUGAGCGAAAGCCAGGGGAGCAAACGGG
rnacentral:rRNA from 1 species